GCAAUCGACCAUAGGAUCUGGAAAAUAGCGCUUCCCGUUUGCUCAGCGGUACUCAAGCCAGAUGCCGGUCAGUUAGUACUAAGGUCGGUGACGACUUAGGAAUCCUGGCUGUUGAUUGUU
rfam:Cladophialophora carrionii strain KSF Contig1623, whole genome shotgun sequence.